UACAGAGGUCUCAAGCGUUGUUCGGAUUCAUUGGGCGUAAAGGGUGCGUAGGUGGCGCGCUAAGUCAGGUGUGAAAUCUCGGGGCUUAACUCCGAAACUGCAUUUGAUACUGGCGAGCUUGAGUGCGUGAGGGGUAACCGGAACGAGUAGUGUAGCGGUGAAAUGCGUAGAUAUUACUCGGAAGGCCAAAGGCGAAGGCAGGUUACUGGUACGCAACUGACGCUGAGGCACGAAAGCGUGGGGAGCAAACAGG
rnacentral:rRNA from 1 species